rnacentral:rRNA from 1 species
UACGUAUGGUGCAAGCGUUAUCCGGAUUUACUGGGUGUAAAGGGAGCGUAGACGGCGAUGCAAGUCUGAAGUGAAAGCCCGGGGCUCAACCCCGGGACUGCUUUGGAAACUGUAUGGCUGGAGUGCUGGAGAGGCAAGCGGAAUUCCUAGUGUAGCGGUGAAAUGCGUAGAUAUUAGGAAGAACACCAGUGGCGAAGGCGGCUUGCUGGACAGUAACUGACGUUGAGGCUCGAAAGCGUGGGGAGCAAACAGG